rnacentral:rRNA from 1 species
UACGGAGGGUGCAAGCGUUAUCCGGAUUCACUGGGUUUAAAGGGUGCGUAGGCGGACAGGUAAGUCAGUGGUGAAAUCUCUGGGCUUAACCCAGAAACUGCCGUUGAUACUAUUUGUCUUGAAUAUCCUGGAGGUAGGCGGAAUAUGUCAUGUAGCGGUGAAAUGCUUGGAUAUGACAUAGAACACCGAUAGCGAAGGCAGCUUACUACAGGAUGAUUGACGCUGAGGCACGAAAGCGUGGGGAGCAAACAGG